UUUUACCGGUGAUCGGUUGGCCCAAUACUAGAAACUCCCAACUGGAUUAAUUUCCCGUUACUCAUCCAGAGUGAAAGCAAAAGCUCCGUCCGGUGCCUCGUCGGAGAGAGAGAGAUAAAGUAAGAGAAAAUCUUGAAAUUGUUGUCGGAGGAAGGAAGAAGAGAAGUAUGGGUGUGGACUAUUACAAGGUUCUUCAGGUGGACCGAA
rnacentral:misc_RNA from 1 species